ensembl:lncRNA
GGAGAGAGAGGAGACAGGGGAGGCAGAGAGGAGACAGAGAGGAGACAGAGAGGAGACAGGGAGGCAGAGAGGAGGCAGAGAGGAGACAGAGAGGAGACAGGGGAGGAAGAGAGGAGACAGGGGAGGCAGAGAGGAGACAGAGAGGAGACAGGGGAGGCAGAGAGGAGGCAGAGAGGAGGCAGAGAGGAGGCAGAGAGGAGACAGAGAGGAGACAGAGAGGAGACAGGGGAGGCAGAGAGGAGGCAGAGAGGAGACAGGGGAGGCAGAGAGGAGACAGGGGAUGCAGAGAGGAGGCAGAGAGGAGACAGGGGAGGCAGAGAGGAGACAGAGAGGAGAGGGGAGGCAGAGAGGAGACAGGGGAGGCAGAGAGGAGGCAGAGAGGAGACAGGGGAGGCAGAGAGGAGACAGGGAGGAGACAGGGGAGGCAGAGAAGAGACAGAGAGGAGACAGAGAGGAGACAGGGGAGGCAGAGAGGAGACAGAGGAGAGGAGGAGACAGAGAGGAGACACAGGAGGCAGAGAGGAGACAGAGAGGAGACAGAGAGGAGACAGGGGAGGCAGAGAGGAGACAGAGAGGAGACAGGGGAGGCAGAGAGGAGACAGGGGAGUCAGAGAGGAGACCUACAGUAGGUGAGACAGAGGGGAGAGACAGGAAGGAGACAUACAGUAGGUGAGACAGAGGGGAGAGACAGGAGGGAGACAUCAUGUUCUACAGGUUAACUCAACCCUUCAGUUCUUGGCUGGUUGAUGUCUCUGGACCAUCUAGUGAUUUACAGACUGAAGAGGUCCAACACACUAACACACCCACAGAGAGAGACUCUGACUCUGCAGCUGUAGGGCAAAGCACACAAACACACCCACAGAGAGAGACUCUGACUCUGCAGCUGUAGGGCAAAGCACACGAACACACCCACAGAGAGAGACUCUGACUCUGCAGCUGUAGGGCAAAGCACACGAACACACCCACAG